ACGAACGCUGGCGGCAUGCCUAACACAUGCAAGUCGAACGAACCCUUCGGGGUUAGUGGCGCACGGGUGCGUAACGCGUGGGAACCUGCCUUUUGGUUCGGAAUAACAGUGAGAAAUUACUGCUAAUACCGAAUGAUGUCUACGGACCAAAGAUUUAUCGCCAUUAGAUGGGCCCGCGUAGGAUUAGCUAGUUGGUGGGGUAAAGGCCUACCAAGGCGACGAUCCUUAGCUGGUCUUAGAGGAUGAUCAGCCACACUGGGACUGAGACACGGCCCAGACUCCUACGGGAGGCAGCAGUGGGGAAUAUUGGACAAUGGGCGAAAGCCUGAUCCAGCAAUGCCGCGUGAGUGAUGAAGGCCUUAGGGUUGUAAAGCUCUUUUACCCGGGAUGAUAAUGACAGUACCGGGAGAAUAAGCCCCGGCUAACUCCGU
rnacentral:rRNA from 1 species